GUUCUGACAGGGUGACCGGGAGUGGAAGUGUGACUGUAUCGAAAGAAGCAAUGUUUCCACAGUAUUUCUGGCCUGAACGGAAGAAGAAAAGGUGUCCUGCUGAACUCUACAUUCUGGAAGAGCACAAGCUACCAUCAUGCAACUUUAACUCUGCAUUAAAAGUUGGUUCAUUUGUUUUCCAUUUCCUAGGUUUUUUUUAAAACAGAGAAAGAGAGAUGUUUGUUGGCAGGAGUUAGUGGUCUUUUGGGCAGUUGUAGUUCGUGUUUAGGUUUGCAGUGGAUAUGCUAUGGUGGCUAUGUAAUAAUCAAAAGACCUAGGUUUUAUACUGUGCUUUUCAUCAGUAGCUCUCAAAGAACUUCACAUCAUUACCCUGUUUUGCAGAUGGGAAACUGAGCACAGAAAGAUGAAGCGACUUACCCAAGGUCACCCAACAGGCCAGUGCCAGAGCAGCAUCUUGGCUCAUCAGUGGAACACAAAUCAAGAGGAGACAGCAACAACAGGAUAAUUCAUAAUGGAUCUUUUUGCUUCUGGCAACGGGAUAAAGUCAAAGAAAUCGGGAUUAAGGUGGGGGGUUUGUGGGGCCAAGUGAAAGAUGCAAGAGAUACCAAUUUGUGUUAUGAGAUAUAUAUAAAAAUAUAUUGAUUUUUGGUUUAUAGCAGGUGGCAGUCAAGCACCCAAAGGGAAAUGGCAUGUUUUUAAAUGCAUAACCCGAGACAUGUCACUAACAACUGAUUUGACAUCAUGCAGUGAACAUAGAAGUGAUAAGAUAUUGCAAUCUUUACUAUUUUUAUUGUAAUUUUUAAAAGAAAGAAUAUUUAACAGAAAGGGUCAGUUCUUCAGCUACCAUAAAUUGGCAUAGCUCUAUUGAAAUCAGUGAAGCUAUGCCAGUUUAGCUCAGCUGAAGGGAGUUUCUCCAUACUGGUUUUGUGUAAAUAAUACUAUAAAAUAACAAUCAGACCGGCUUAAUAGCAAUAUCAAUUUGGCACAACAUUUUAUAACAUUAUCCAGGAUUUUCCAAUAAGCGAUUUAACCUUCCUCAAGUUGAGCAUUAAAUCAAAGCAGAAUCAAUUUUUCAGGUCUUUAAUAUUGAACAUUUAAAAUCUUUGUUCUAUAGCACAUGUACAUACAAAUUAUUCAACUAGAACAAAAACAAAACAUUGAAAAUUGCUUGUGCGUAGCAUCACGUGCAAUAAAUUGAUUAGAGUAAUUAGAAAAAGCCACAUCUGCAAAAAUGGCUUCUAAAUUUGUACCACACAUUUUGUCAGCAUAAUUGCAAAAUAUAUUUUAUGCAUGCAAGAAGUGUCCUGAGGUUCAAUCUGGGCAGUUAAACACCAUUUGUAUAUCAAAUACCAAAUUUUGGGAUGCACAUGAUUGCCCUCACAAAACUAUGUGUACAUAUAAUCAAUGGUUGGACUGAAAAACUUGCCCUUGAAAGCAGUUUGAAUAGCAAAAAGUGAUUUUUAACUGAGAUAAAAUGGGAAAAUUAAUGACAGCUAAUGUUAAAUUGACACAUUUGUGUAAAAUUGGUGUGUAUAGAAAUUUCCUUUUUCCAUUCAAUGAGACUUGCUAUUAAAUGGGAACUGUAAUAGUAACUGGACUUGGUGACUCAGGUCUAGAGCAAAUAUUUCUUUCAACAUAUUAUGCAUUCUUUAUGUAAGCAUAGAUAAGGAGCAUUGAAAUUCUGUGGCUAAUGCUUUGUACUUAUUUUUUAUUUAUAUAGCUACAUAAAAAUGUAACAGUCUUUUCAAGAAUUAAUGUAGUGGAUGUUAAAGGAGAACAUAAAAAAGAAAAUUACAUAUUGUCUGUUAGACAGAAAUUUGGUAUUACUGUGGUAAAGGUCAGCAAAAAAAAAUAUGUUUUCAACAGACAAUGCAGGGAUGCACUGUAAAUCUUCAAUCCCCAUCCCAGGUAAAAAGAAUGUUUCUGAUGCUAUGGUAAUUUUAGAAAUUUGAAUGACUUUGGGCCAAAUCUUCAAGAGAGCUCUGGGUCAAAUCUUCAAGUGUUCAACACUGACAGCCGGGGACAGAUUUUUAAAAUACUCCUACUAGGCAUCAAAAUAAGAGGUUGUGAAAAGAGGCUUAGGCCCCCAAAAUUCUGAGGUCUUUUGAAAAAUCUGGCCCUGAUUGUGAGUACUGUGCUCUUGAAAAUUCUGGCGUUAUUUUUAGAUGUAUACUGCUCCAAUUACUGUAAUACCCAAUUUGGGACACAUUAAACAUUGUGAUAUAGAUGACAACUGUAUAAGCCAUAAUAAAAAUCAGCAUAACAGAAAACUCCAAAAUAUGGUAGGAAACUAGAGAUACACUGGACACGUCCUUUUGUCUAGAACUAGAAAACAGAGGGUCAAGUUUCACCUUCCAGAUUUAGCUUUUUUAGAGUUCGGCAAUCUGGUUCAUUUGGUAGGUGCCAUCACUUGCUGGCUAUUACCUUUCUCAUCUCACAACCGUCAACAAGUGUUUAACUGGCAAUAGUACAAAUGUAUACACUGAUGUAAAGAACACUUCAGUACACAAUAGAUUUAUGAUUGUCUACAUAUUAUCACUGUAAUAUGUAAUUAAUCCCCCUUAAAAUUGCUUCUGUAAUGUAAUAACUUCACUUUCUCUGCAAAUAUGGUCUACAAAUCUUUUAGACCUUCUAGCUUUUGCUUGUUCUGUAUCAACAAGUCUUGCCUCCAUUAAAUCACUUUGCUUAUCUGGUG